rnacentral:rRNA from 1 species
UUUACUAUAGCUUGACACUGAACAUUGAGCCUUGAUGUGUAGGAUAGGUGGGAGGCUUUGAAGUGUGGACGCCAGUCUGCAUGGAGCCGACCUUGAAAUACCACCCUUUAAUGUUUGAUGUUCUAACGUUGGCCCCUAAUCGGGGUUGCGGACAGUGUCUGGUGGGUAGUUUGACUGGGGCGGUCUCCUCCUAAAGAGUAACGGAGGAGCACGAAGGUUGGCUAAUCCUGGUCGGACAUCAGGAGGUUAGUGCAAUGGCAUAAGCCAGCUUGACUGCGAGCGUGACGGCGCGAGCAGGUGCGAAAGCAGGUCAUAGUGAUCCGGUGGUUCUGAAUGGAAGGGCCAUCGCUCAACGGAUAAAAGGUACUCCGGGGAUAACAGGCUGAUACCGCCCAAGAGUUCAUAUCGACGGCGGUGUUUGGCACCUCGAUGUCGGCUCAUCACAUCCUGGGGCUGAAGUAGGUCCCAAGGGUAUGGCUGUUCGCCAUUUAAAGUGGUACGCGAGCUGGGUUUAGAACGUCGUGAGACAGUUCGGUCCCUAUCUGCCGUGGGCGCUGGAGAACUGAGGGGGGCUGCUCCUAGUACGAGAGGACCGGAGUGGACGCAUCACUGGUGUUCGGGUUGUCAUGCCAAUGGCACUGCCCGGUAGCUAAAUGCGGAAGAGAUAAGUGCUGAAAGCAUCUAAGCACGAAACUUGCCCCG